rnacentral:lncRNA from 1 species
CGCCACCGGCGGAGGGGAGAAAUUCUGCUGCUGCUGCUGCUGAUGCUGCGGCAUAGCCGCAUUGAUGGGAGGCUGAGGCGAACCCAAUGGAACGUUCAUGCUGCCAUCGGGCCCGUACUUCCUUGGCCGGCCCCUCUUCCGCUUCUGGUCGGAGGUGGAGUGGCUUAUUACGGUGGCGCCAGCGGGGACAGAUUGAAACGGCGGGGGCGACGAUCCAACUUGCCUGAAUGCACCGCCGCCGUCGGAGUUCAUAUAGGACAUGUGCAUUUGCUGGUCCAGCUGCGGUUGCGAAGCCACCGGGUUCAUCACCGGCGACGGCGAGCUCAUGCUGAACGGCUCCCGGUUGGACAUCGCCGCCGUAGCUUCAGAUGAUCCAGACAUUUUUUUUUUCGGCCAAAUUUUCGGAAAUUACCUGAGCAUCAGAAAUCGGAGCGAACAAAAUUCGCAGAUCAUCAUCAGAAGUUAAUGGAAGCAGCUUUAACUGAGCUCAAAACCCUAACCAGUGACGCCAUUUCCAGCAAUUAUCAAACUCAAUUGAAAUUAAAGCACAGAAGCAGUAAUUUUUCAAAUCAAAAAGUAUCCAUAACUUCCGAAAUUGGAGGAAGAAAAAGAAAAGAAACUAAUUUGUCGAGAAUUGAAUAAUAGGAAGAAAACAAUUUGUUACAGAAAAACAGGAAAAAUAGUUAAAUUUAGUAACGCGAAAUUGAAAUUUCGAAAAAUUGAAAAAAGUAAAAAUAAAAGAAACACAGUGAAACAAAGUUGAAAAAGGAAACAGCUUUUUUGAUAUAAAACCUCCGAAAUUCAGCAGAAUUCACCAAACUCACGAACGGAUCAAGCAAAAAUAUCAAAAAACUCUAAAAAUUACGCCUCGGCAAACAGAAACAGUUCCUUAAAAUUCACAAUUUUCGACCAACUUACGAAUAAAAUAACACCCGGAAAAUCAGCCAAAAUUCAGAAAAAAUCAAGAAAAAUAGAGAAAAAUCACGAAUAUCUUACCAAGAAAUUAGGAAAUUUUUCUGCAGCAACGAAAAAAUAACAAGAGCAGAAAGAGGCCGGCAACGAAUUUUGCAAGGAUUGUAAGUAGAGAAAUAAAUUAGGGUUUUUGCAGAGAAAAGCUUUUCGUAAAUAAAUAUGCCGUUAAAUAUAAUAUAUAUAUUAAUUUCUUAAAUCGUUACGCAAAAAAAAAUAAAGCAAAGGAAAAAUCAUUACGUUGUCGUUUUGACUUAUUACCCAACACCUAAUACGCUGUUUUACUCUAACGCGCCGGACUCAGUGCAGUAACUUGACAGCUGCCAUAUAGGCUCAGCGAGUAAGCCUAAUUUUCUACUCUCGCACGUCUGGCCAUAACGAAAUUAUUUCUUUUUCUUAAUAAUGAUAAUGGAAAUUAGUGGGCUAAAUUUGUGGAAUUUGAGUUGGAUUACAUUAUUAAAAAGAAAAAAUUUAAAAUCAAAAUAAUCCAGCCCAAUUACAUAACUAGUUUUUGCUAUUUUUUAAGGCGAACUAAAUUUUACCAACAUCAACUACUAUUUUGAAUUUUUUAAUUAUAUUUAUUUCUUCAUUUUAUCUGCUCUAGAUCGUACAAAUAUUUUUUGUAAUAAAUUUUUUCACUCAUGGAAUUUAUCAUAUUUUCAUGAUUUGAAAUUUUUAUUUUAAAAUAAGUUUGUAGCCUAACUCUACCCUAUAUGGUCAUAUUAAAUAUUUCAUUUGUCCCAUUAAUAAUUAUUCACUUUCCUUUUUGGUCUGUCUCAUUGAUAAUAGUCUGUUCCAAAAAAAGAAAUCAACUUCUCUCACAAAAAGUUAUGAGUUCCACCACUUUCUAUCACUUUUAUCCUUUAAACAUUUUUCUUCUUAAUAAUUGUGUCGAACAUUAAUGAGUCAUUAUUAAUAAGAGGGGGAGUAUGUAAUAACAUACUCCCUCCGUCCCGCUCAAGAUGCUACAUAUUCCUUUUUGGGCCGUCCCAACAAAGGUGCUACAUUUCCAUAUUUGGAAAAAAUAAGGGAAUUUAAGCACUUAAUUAACACUAAUUAAGUAUUUCUUUAUUACAUUCUCUCUCCUACUUUAUCACUUUAUUAUCUUAUCUUUCUUACUUUAUCACUUUCUCUCUCCUACUUUAUCACUUUAUUACCUUCUCUUUCUUACUUUAUCACUUUCUCUCUCCUACUUUAUCACUUUAUUAUUACACACUUAAAACAUUAAUCUACAACUCCUUAAAUCCCGUGCCGAAAGGUAAAUGUUGCGUCUUGGCCGGGACGGAGGGAGUAUUUUUUUUAAUUGGAUAUANGGCGAACCCAAUGGAACGUUCAUGCUGCCAUCGGGCCCGUACUUCCUUGGCCGGCCCCUCUUCCGCUUCUGGUCGGAGGUGGAGUGGCUUAUUACGGUGGCGCCAGCGGGGACAGAUUGAAACGGCGGGGGCGACGAUCCAACUUGCCUGAAUGCACCGCCGCCGUCGGAGUUCAUAUAGGACAUGUGCAUUUGCUGGUCCAGCUGCGGUUGCGAAGCCACCGGGUU